ACAUUGCAUUAUACUUUGGAAGUUGAUCAAGGCAAGAUCUGAGACAAGUUCUGGGGUUUACAAGACAGACUUUAGCUUUUCUAAAUCAUUUUUGAAGUGCUAUUUAAAGGAUUACGGCAUCCAAUCCUCCACUAGUCCCACAGCAUCAUGGCGGAGCGAGAGAGAUUAACGUCAUACAGGUAUCCUCCGGAAAACUGGCUCUACCUCCAAAAGGAACACUCAUUGUCCAGAAAAUCUGUUUUAAAAGAAGUUGUAGAAUUUCCAGAAGAGCCUCACAUAAAAAUGAAAAAAAAAAAAUGAACAAGAGGGUUAAUAGUGGAAUGUGAAUACUGUUUGCAGUUACACUGUUUGAACUAUGUUUCUAUGAUGACAUGUAGGGAUAUUCACAAUAAAAACAACAUGGUUUGGGGGCUAAUUCAGACAUCCGUGUAAACCAA